ensembl:lncRNA
GUACGUAUAACAACAGUGUCAGGGGGGUGGGCCGAGUGGCUAUGGGUUGGCGUGGAAUCUAGGUGCAGGGUGGCUCCGAGGUCCAGGGUGACAAACAGGUGCAUGCAGUUGUCGGGUUUGUCUAGGCAGGGGAAAAAGCAGGGUUACAGGUAGGUAAUCAGAAAACAGGCAGACAGGCAAAACAGGACUAGGUCAAUACAGCAAAGGUUUAGCUGGUGUGCAAAGCUCAACAUACGGUUGAGACUUAACAAUCCGACUGGGGCUGGAAGUCAGGUCCUCUCUGUAGUAGUUUAUAAGGUACGGUCAUGAUGGUAUCAAUACUAGAGUAAAUACGGUAAAGGGAGGGGCCAUUGGACCUUCCAGGGUUUGGCUGUUUGAGGGGGUACAGAGUUGGAAUAAACGGACUCACCUUGGCUCUGUGUCUGCGUGUGUUAUUAUAUCUCCACAAAUACUACACUCUUCUAAAUGCUGUGGUGGAUUGCAGAUCAGGAACAGGUGCGAGAGUGGAUAAUGACUGUCAGGUGGGGAACACCCCGCCCCCGCCUCGUUGCCCGGACAACCAGAACACAACACCAGGACAGACAUGGAACAGACGCACCGGGCAAACAUACCAACAAACAACGACGGAAACAACAUGUACAUUGAACAAACAAGAGUCACGGGGAAGGGGGCGUGACAAACAGUGAUAUGACAGCAAUGGAACAUGCUGACCCUUAACCAUUCCUCAGCAAGUAAUACUUAUUCUAACUGCCUGGACCACCACAAGGUAAUGUGUUGAGUGACUUACAGAACAGAAUGUUAAUGAUGACUGUAGGUAGGCAAUGUAAUUAAUGACUGUUUGUAGAGGUACUGUAGGCAAUGAAGUUGGGUACUGUUUGCAGAGGUACAUAUUGUAA